GGCAGAUGCCAAAAUGCCAGAUGCGCAGUCAGGAUAUGAAAAAGGCUCUACCCUUGUCAUGGCCGGGCUGUCGGGCCUGAAUAUGGUGUAUGAGGCGG
rnacentral:ncRNA from 1 species